AUGGCGUCUGCCGGCCGCCGUCCCACGGUGCUCAUGCAGAUCGCUCUCUUCUUCGUCGUCGCGGCGGUCAUCAUGAACAGCUCCGUCUGCCUUGGAGCCGCCGCCGGCGACGCCACUGCAGGCUCUGGUGCUUUCGACCCUAACCGCCCUGCUGUCCCGUCGACGGGUGGUGCUGGUAAACCCUACACCGGCCGUCGGUGCCUCCCUAAGUACCGCUGCUACCCACCGGCUGGUGGCCAACCCUAA
rnacentral:rRNA from 1 species